rnacentral:rRNA from 1 species
GGCGUACGGGUGAGUAACACGUAGGUAAUCUACCUGUNAGAGUCUGGAAUAACCUGCCGAAAGGCGGUGCUAAGUGACUGGACUAGGAGCGAAUACUUCGUCAACAGGAGUGAUCGGGAAAGGGAGCUUGAAAGGGCCCUUGCUUUAAGAUGAGCCUGCGUCCCAUUAGUUAGUUGGCAGGGUAACGGCCUACCAAGACGAUGAUGGGUAGCUGGUCUGAGAGGAUGAUCAGGCGACACUGGAACUGAAACACGGUCCAGACUCCUACGGGAGGCAGCAGUGGGGAAUCUUGCGCAAUGGACGAAAGUCUGACGCAGCCACGCCGCGUGAGUGAAGAAGGCCUUCGGGUUGUAAAGCUCUGUCGGAGGGGACGAAAAUGCAUUAGGUGAAUAGCCUAGUGAACUGACGGUACCCUCAAAGGAAGCACCGGCUAACUUCGUGCCAGCAGCCGCGG